AUACCUACCUGGCAGGGGAGAUACCGUGAUCAAGAACGGGGGUCACCCAGGGCAAGGCUCAGUCAUUACACUCUGGCUGUGUUGACCCCUGCAAAUUUCCCAAAUGUGGGAAUCUUGGCUGCAUAAUUUCUUGUAAUGGGGGACUGCCUUUU
ensembl:snRNA U1 U1 spliceosomal RNA